UACGUAUGAUGCAAGCGUUGUUCGGAAUUAUUGGGCGUAAAGGGCAUUCAGGCGGGAUAUUAAGUCGGGUGUGAAAUCUGGAGGCUCAACCUCCAAACUGCAUUCGAUACUGGUAUUCUUGAGUCAGGGAGAGGAAGGCGGAAUUCCCAGUGUAGCGGUGAAAUGCGUAGAUAUUGGGAAGAACACCGGUGGCGAAGGCGGCCUUCUGGCCUAUGACUGACGCUGAAGUGCGAAAGUGUGGGGAUCAAACGGG
rnacentral:rRNA from 1 species